rnacentral:tRNA from 1 species
CGGGGCGUAGCCUAGUCCGGCUUAGGGCACCUCGUUUGGGACGAGGAGAUCGCUGGUUCAAAUCCGGCCGCCCCGACCA